rnacentral:rRNA from 1 species
CCCUUAGAUGUUCUGGGCCGCACGCGCGCUACACUGAUGCAUUCAACGAGUCUAAAACCUGCUCUGAUAGGGGUGGGUAAUCUUUUGAAUGUGCAUCGUGAUUGGGAUAGAUGAUUGCAAUUUUUCAUCUUCAACGAGGAAUGCCCAGUAAACGCAAGUCAUCAGCUUGCAUUGAUUACGUCCCUGCCCUUUGUACACACCGCCCGUCGCUCCUACCGAUUGAAUGAUCCGAUGAAUAUCAUGGAUUGAGGAUGCAAGUAGGUUAGCCUAUCUUCAUCUUCGAGAAGUGAAGUAAAUCUUAUCAUUUAGAGGAAGGAGAAGUCGUAACA